ACACCGGCCCUUUUCAGGGCCACCAAAAUAUUUCUUGAGUGCUGUAU
rfam:Branchiostoma floridae genomic scaffold BRAFLscaffold_174, whole genome shotgun sequence.